rnacentral:rRNA from 1 species
GAUGAACGCUGGCGGCGUGCCUAAUACAUGCAAGUCGAGCGAUCAGACGAGGAGCUUGCUCCUCUGACGUUAGAGGCGGAAGUGUGAGUAACACGUGGACAACCUACCGAUAAGACUGGGAUAACUUCGGGAAACCGGAGCUAAUACCGGCUAAGAUAUUGAACCGCAUGGUUCAAUAGUGAAAGACGGUUUUGCUGUCACUUAUAGAUUGAUCCGCGCCGCAUUAGCUAGUUGGUAAGGUAACGGCUUACCAAGGCAACGAUGCGUAGCCGACCUGAGAGGGUGAUCAGCCACACUGGAACUGAGACACGGUCCAGACUCCUACGGGAGGCAGCAGUGGGGAAUCUUCCGCAAUGGGCGAAAGCUUGACGGAGCAACGCCGCGUGAGUGAUGAAGGUCUUCGGAUCGUAAAACUCUUUUAUUAGGUAAGAACAACUGUGUUAGUACCUAUGCAGGUCUUGACGGUACCUAAUCAGAAAGCCGCGGCUAACUACGUG